rnacentral:rRNA from 1 species
GACGAACGCUGGCGGCGUGCUUAACACAUGCAAGUCGAACGGAAAGGCCCUGCAUUUGUGGGGUGCUCGAGUGGCGAGCGGGGGAGUAACACGUGAGUAGACUGCCCUUGACUGUGGGAUAAAUUCAUGAAACACGGGCUAAUACCGGACAGAAACACCUGCUGCAUAGUGGGGGUGGGAAAGAGGCGGAGGUUGGGGAUGCACGCGCGGUUUAGCGGCGUGUUGGUGAGGUGGUGGGUUACCAAGGCUUUGAUGGGUUGCCGGCCUGAGAGGGUGACAGGCCCCAUUGGGCUUGAGGAAGGGGCCAGAGUCCUACGGGAGGCAGCAGUGGGAAUUAUUGCGCAAUGGGCGGCAGGAGGAUGGAGGAAUGCCGCGUGGGGGAUGACGGUUUGUGGGUUGUAAACCGCGUUCGCCUGUGACGCAGCGUGAGUGACGGUAAUGGGUAAAGAAGCACCGGCUAACUACGUG